ensembl:lncRNA
UCGACGUUAGCGGCAGUCAAAAAUAUUCAAAGAUGUACGAUUUUCUUAGGCCCGUCCCACGUUCUGAUAUGUCUUUUAACCACUUAGAAAGCAGAGUAUUCAAUGUUUUAACAUGUCAGUUAUGUAAGUGGUUUACUGUGAUUUAUUUUCAUUUGAAGAGUUUGAAUCGACGGAGGGCGUACAUGUUAAAUUUGUGCAAAAUCUACUCAUUUUGGAGGGCGAAUUCACCUCUUUUUUUUUCUUUUUUUUAAAUUCUGGAAGAACCGCACUUUAGCACUUAGUUCUGGAGUACCAAAAACCUUUUGAAGUAAGUGACAUUUAUUUCAAAAAUAAACAUUUUCGUUUUGCUGAGUCAUUCGGACGAGAGCCUCGCGCCUUGUUUUAUAUUGUUAUAAUCACAGAAACUGUCAUAAGUCUGUGAAGUGAAGUCUGACUCGAAACAUUCUCAUUUAUCCUCCCAUAACAUUGACGUGACCUUCAGUAUUCCUCCCCAAUGUGGUACACUUUCUAUUUUCGUUUAAAAGAAUUCAGUUCUGAAAUAGGAAACUCCCUGCCAAUUCUCUGAGGAGUUGGCACACUGACAUGGCACUAAGAGGCUUAUGUACAUGGCAAAGCUUCAUUACACACACACGCACACUUUAUUAUCACGCUGCAAAAGCAAAUCAGCCAACCACUCGCAGCUCAAUUAUCCACUUAGAUGAAUACGAAAGCCAUUUCACAGAUGUCUUUACAGCGGAACUGCUUUUGCUCGCAGCACGUUCCGCUUUAUUAUUUCAUUUCUUUCCCUUACGUUUUUGUAAAGAUGAAUAUAUUUUUAGAUAGCAAUUGUAAACCUCCCUAACUUUAUCUAAUAAAAACCUGUAUAGUAAAAAUAAGACAGAUAAAAUUAUAUAUUAAUAUUAAUCCAGGGUGAUGGGUGAUAACAUUUAAAUAAUGUACACUGUUAUUAUGCAAGUGAAGGGAUUUUGACCCUUUUAGCUGCUGAAGGAUGUGCAAUCACUUCCUGGUGGAUACAUGAUGAUGUGUGAGACUAGAAGAUGUGAUUUAAUUUCAUAAGACUUUUUGUACAAGUGUGCAGGUUUUCUUUAUUAUAGUAGGGACACAAAAGUGAAAUAAAUGGCAGGAGUGAUCUACAAUGACUUUAGAAGAAGAAAUGCCUCUGGACAUGCAUAGUUGAAAGUUUUUCCACUGUUAGAUUGCGUUACUUUUUUUUCCUCAAGGAUGUGAUAUGGAAAUUUGUUAUGGCUAAUUCUGUAACAAAUACCAAAACACAUUCAUUUGCAAUUUUUCAUAUCCUCGUUUUCUUUCCUUUUUUUUUUUUUUUUUUUUUUCUUUUUUUUUUUCUCCUGUAUUUUGCAGUACUACAAGCUGCUCGUGUGCACUUUUAGAGAACAUUUAUCCAUGCCAAAUUCGCAUGAGCAGGCAUCAUGAUCAGUGUUGCAUUUCUUAACAAUUAGUUACACAAGCCACUGCUAAUGUUAGACUUAAAUCAUUGACAUUUAUUCAUUUGCCAGACAUUUGAGCAAGUUACAAAUGAGGCAGGGAAAAAGCACAUAGUUGAACAGUUUAGGGUUGUGUUUUUGCUUAAGGACCUCAAAACUGACUCUGACAAUCCUGGGAUUUGAGCUCAUAACAUUCAGGCCACUGGCACUGACACACAUUUAAUUGGAGGAAUAAAAAUCCCUUCAAAAAUGUAGAAAAAUCAUUUAAAUGUAUUUGUAUGUCACUUGAAUCAAACUAGAAUUCAGUUGUACAAUGGUGUUUGAAAGUUUGUGAAUUUUCUAUACUUCUGCAUAAAUAUGACCUAAAACAUCAUCAGAUAGAAGUUUUCUACUAUGGGGAUGGACAGUAAAAGUUUCUGAAUUUAAUUGAAUUCCUAUUGGAUUAAGGUCAGGACUUUGACUUUGGACAUUCCAGAACAUUGCAUCAUGACCCACUUUCUCUUGAAAUUCAUUUCAUGGACAGAUGUCCUGACAUUUUCUUUAAGAAUUUGCUGGUAUACUUCAGAAUUCAUUGUUCCAUCAUCCAAGCCGUUCUGGCCCAGAUGCAGUAAAACAGGCCCAAACCAUGUUUCACAGACGGUAUAAGGUUCUUAUGCUGGAAUGCAAUGUUUUCCUUUCUCCAAACAUAAACCUUCUCAUUUGAACCAAAAAUUUAUAUUUUGGUCUCAUCUAUCCACAAAACAUUUUUCCACUAGCCUUCUGGCUUGUCUGUGUGAUCUUUAGGAAACUGCAGACAGGCAGCAGUGUUCUUUUUGGAGAGCAGUGACUUACUCCUUGCAACCCUGCCAUGCACAUCAUUGUUGUUGAGUGUUCUCCUGAUGGUGGACUCAUGACCAUUAACAUUAGCCAAUUGUUGCUCUUGGAGUGAUCUCUGUUGGUCGACCACUCCUGGUCAACAAUGCUCAUGAAUUUCCUCCAUUUGUACACAGUCUGUCUGAAUGUGCAUUGGUGGAGUCCAAACUCUUUAGAGAUGGUUUAUAACCUUUUCCAGCCUGAUAAGCAUCAACACUUUUACUGAGGUCCUCAGAAAUCUCCUUUACACCGACAAAUAUGUGUUGUGAAGAUCAGACUUUGAUUAGAUCCCUCUUCUUUAAAUAAAACAGGGGGCUCACGCACACCUGAUUGUGAACUAUUGAUUGAGAACACCUGACUCUAAUUUCAUCUUCAAAUUAACUGAUAAUCCUAGAGCUUCACAUACUUUUGCCACUCACAUAUAUGUUGCAUUGGAUCAUUUUCCGCAAUAAAUAAAUGACAAAGUAUAAUAUUGGUCUCUCUUUAUCUAUUUUUAGGACUUGUGUGAAAAUCUGUUGAUGUUUUAGGCCAAAUUUAUGCAGAAAAAAUUCUGAAGGGUUCACAGACUUCCAAGCACCACUGUAUAGGCAAUUACUCAUUAAGACAUUAAACUACAUAAAUGAAAACAAUAAUAUACAAAGAGAAAAUAAGAAGAUAGAAAACAAUAAGGUUUUAUAAACAUUACAAAUAUUAAUAACAAUAAUAAAGCUAUAUAUUAUGCAAAAGUGUUUAAAUAUUUCUUUCCAGUAGAGAACACCAGAGCUUGAGGCCAAGGUAACUAAACACUGAUGUUUGCAUAAAAUAUAAAUAAAUAAAGGGAUAUGAAUUAUUUUGCUAGCAGCAAGCAUCUGUCUAAAAUAAAAUAUUAGGCGUGUGCUUUAUUUCUCUUUCACUAUAGUGAGAAAUUUAUUAAAACUGUUCCUCUCCUCUUCUAAAACAUUUCGUUCGUUUCUGAAACCUCUUUUACGAGUCAUUUGCUGGUUAUUCCAAGUUAGAUGUCAGAUUUCAGUUUGAUCUCAGUUUUAUAUGUAUGUCACGGACACAGACACAUAGAUGAAGUGUUGUUGCAGGUCUCCUUCUCUAGAGGAUCUAUUUUGGAUUUGGAAAGAACAUUUUUUUUUAUCACCGUCUUGCAAAUAGCAGACAUAUAUACUAGAGAAUGCACAUGAUAUACAGUAUAAAAUGUAUUUAACCCUUGUUAUACUUGAAGGAUGUCAAAAAACAGUUCCUGUUUUCACGUUAUGUAUUUGCUUUGUGUGUGUGUGUGUGUGUGUGUGUGUGUAAAGUGAGGAUUGAAACCUUUGUUUUGGGAAAAGGGAAGAUUUUUAAAGUAACUACUAUCUGAGAACCAAUGAAACAUGGCCAUCGAAGCCCUAAUGCAUUAGCAUAAUGUUUUUAUGUCAUAAUGUUAAAAGAAAAUCAAGCAAGAAUUGUAAUUGAUCACAUUUAUCACUUUUCAACUUCAUCC